CCCUUAGAUGUUCUGGGCCGCACGCGCGCUACACUGACGGAUUCAACGAGCUUACAACCUUGGCCGAAAGGUCUGGGUAAUCUCCAAAAUCCGUCGUGAUGGGGAUAGAUUAUUGCAAUUAUUAAUCUUCAACGAGGAAUGCCUAGUAAGCGCAAGUCAUCAGCUUGCGUUGAUUACGUCCCUGCCCUUUGUACACACCGCCCGUCGCUCCUACCGAUUGAAUGGUCCGGUGAAGCGUUUGGACUAUGGUUUUCUGAUGGUCCGCCGUUGGAUUACCGUGGGAAGGUCGUUAAACCUUAUCAUUUAGAGGAAGGAGAAGUCGUAACA
rnacentral:rRNA from 1 species